GCCCAGGUAGCUCAGUCGGUAGAGCAGGGGACUGAAAAUCCCCGUGUCGGUGGUUCGAUUCCGCCCCUGGGCAC
rnacentral:tRNA from 2 species